CCUACGGGUGGCUGCAGUGAGGAAUAUUGGUCAAUGGGAGCAAUCCUGAACCAGCAAUGCCGCGUGUGGGAUGACAGGGCUUCGCCUUGUAAACCACUGUCGGACGGGACGAAAGGAGGCCACGGGCCUCUGGGACGGUACCGUCAAAGGAAGGGUCGGCUAACUACGUGCCAGCAGCCGCGGUAAUACGUAGGACCCGAGCGUUGUCCGGAUUUACUGGGUAUAAAGGGUGCGUAGGCGGCCUUGUGCGUCAGAGGUGAAAUAUCCGGGCUUAA
rnacentral:rRNA from 1 species